AGCGAACGCUGGCGGCAGGCCUAACACAUGCCAGUCGAACGAACCUUUCGGGGUUAGUGGCGGACGGGUGAGUAACACGUGGGAACGUGCCUUUAGGUUCGGAAUAACUCAGGGAAACUUGUGCUAAUACCGAAUGUGCCCUUCGGGGGAAAGAUUUAUCGCCUUUAGAGCGGCCCGCGUCUGAUUAGCUAGUUGGUUGAGGUAAUGGCUCACCAAGGCGACGAUCAGUAGCUGGUCAGAGAGGAUGAUCCGCCACAUUGGGACUGAGACACGGCCCAAACUCCUACGCGAUGCAGCAGUGGGUAAUCUUGCGAAAUGGGCGAAAGCCUGACGCAGCCAGGCCGCGUGAAUGAUGAAGGUCGUAGGAUUGUAAAAUUCUUUCACCGGGGACGAUAAUGACGGUACCCGGAGAAGAAGCCCCGGCUAACUUCGUG
rnacentral:rRNA from 1 species